CCUGCCCACUGAAAUUUUUUAAAGGGCCGCGGUAUUUUGACUGUGCAAAGGUAGCAUAAUCAUUAGUCUUUUAAUUGGAGGCUUGUAUGAAUGGUUGGAUGAGGUAUUAACUGUCUCAAUUUAAUAAAUAAUAGAAUUUUAUUUUUAAGUUAAAAAGCUUAAAUUUUAUUAAAAGACGAGAAGACCCUAUAGAUCUUUAUAAUUAAAUUUAUAAUAAUUUUUUAGGUUAAAUUUAUUUUUAUAAAAAUAAUUAUUAUAUUGGGGUGAUAAAAAAAUUUAUAAAACUUUUUUUUAAAAAUAAACAAUGAUAUUUGGUUAAUUGAUCCAUUUUUUGUGAUUAUAAGAUUAAGUUACCUUAGGGAUAACAGCGUAAUUUUUUUGGAGAGUUCUUAUCGAUAAAAAAGAUUGCGACCUCGAUGUUGAAUUAAAGGUUAAUUUUAGGUGUAGAAGUUUAAAAUUUUGGUCUG
rnacentral:rRNA from 1 species